rnacentral:rRNA from 1 species
UGAGCAAUCUGCCCUUCUCUUUGGAAUAAGCGUUGGAAACGACGUCUAAUGCCGAAUACGACCUCCUUUCGCAUGAUCGGAGGUGGAAAGCUCCGGCGGAGAAGGAUGAGCUCGCGGCCUAUCAGCUAGUUGGUGUGGGUAAUGGCCCACCAAGGCGACGACGGGUAGCCGGCCUGAGAGGGUGACCGGCCACACUGGGACUGAGACACGGCCCAGACUCCGUACGGGAGG